rnacentral:rRNA from 1 species
CGGUCUGGCGGCGAGUGGCGAACGGGUGAGUAAUACAUCGGAACGUACCCUGUUGUGGGGGAUAACUAGUCGAAAGAUUAGCUAAUACCGCAUACGACCUGAGGGUGAAAGCGGGGGACCGAAAGGCCUCGCGCAGCAGGAGCGGCCGAUGUCUGAUUAGCUAGUUGGUGGGGUAAAGGCCCACCAAGGCGACGAUCAGUAGCUGGUCUGAGAGGACGAUCAGCCACACUGGGACUGAGACACGGCCCAGACUCCUACGGGAGGCAGCAGUGGGGAAUUUUGGACAAUGGGGGCAACCCUGAUCCAGCAAUGCCGCGUGUGUGAAGAAGGCCUUCGGGUUGUAAAGCACUUUUGUCCGGAAAGAAAUUGCUCUGGCUAAUACCUGGGGUAGAUGACGGUACCGGAAGAAUAAGCACCGGCUAACUACGUGCCAGCAGCCGCGGUAAUACGUAGGGUGCGAGCGUUAAUCGGAAUUACUGGGCGUAAAGCGUGCGCAGGCGGUUUUGUAAGACAGGCGUGAAAUCCCCGGGCUCAACCUGGGAAUUGCGCUUGUGACUGCAAGGCUAGAGUGCGUCAGAGGGGGGUAGAAUUCCACGUGUAGCAGUGAAAUGCGUAGAGAUGUGGAGGAAUACCGAUGGCGAAGGCAGCCC